GUGGAUUAGAUACCCCGGUAGUCCACGCCCUAAACGGUGCACACUAGGUCUUGGCGGAUUCGACCCCCCCAGGGCCCAAGCUAACGCGUUAAGUGUGCCGCCUGAGGACUACGGCCGCAAGGCUAAAACUCAAAGGAAUUGACGGGGGCCCGCACAAGCGGUGGAGCAUGUGGCUCAAUUCGAUGCAACGCGAAGAACCUUACCAGGCCUUGACAUGCACUGGACCGGCGCUGAAAGGCGCCUUCCCCGCAAGGGGCCGGUGCACAGGUGCUGCACGGCCGUCGCCAACU
rnacentral:rRNA from 1 species